UUUCUGUAGGUGAACCUGCAGAAGGAUCAUUAGUGAACUACUAGGACGUCCAUUAAACCGGAGUCCGAACAUCACUUUUAAACACCAAACCCGUGAACCGUGUAUACCCUUUUUAAACCCAAAAAGUUUAGCAAGUCCACUGCGUAUGCAGUAAAUAAACCUAUAAAACUUUCAACAACGGAUGUCUUGGCUCUCGCAUCGAUGAAGAACGCAGC
rnacentral:misc_RNA from 1 species